rnacentral:ncRNA from 1 species
GACCCUAAAAAGUCCUUUAGACACAAAGGUCUGGUCCUAGCCUUUGAAAUCAGUUAUUACUUUAUUUAUACAUGCAAGUCUCCGCCCCCCUGUGAAAACGCCCUUAUCUUCCCUCUAGGAACAAGGAGCCGGUAUCAGGCUCAACAAUUAGCCCAAGACACCUAGCUUACGCCACACCCACAAGGGUAAUCAGCAGUAAUUAACAUUGAACAUAAGCGUCAGCUUGAUUCAGUUAAAGUAAAAAGGGCAGGCAAAUACGGUGCCAGCCGCCGCGGUUAUACCAUGAGGCCCAAACUGACAUCUUUCGGCGUAAAGCGUGAUUAAAGUUAUUUAUAACUGUAGUCGAACUAUUAUUAGGCUGUUAUAAGCUUAUACUUAAGAAGAUCACAAACGAAAGUUACUACACAAAACAACUUGAACUCACUACAACUAAGACACAAACUAGGAUUAGAGACCCUACUAUGCUUAGCCUUAAACUCUUAAUUACACCACAAACGCCUGGGAACUACAAGCAAAGCUUGAAACCCAAAGGACUUGACGGUGCCCCACAUCCCCCUAGAGGAGCCUGUCCUAUGACCGAUAACCCCCGUUUAACCUCACCCUCUUUAGCACACUCAGUCUGUAUACCUCCGUCGUCAACUUACCACAUGAGUGACUUUUAGUAAGUUUAAUGUCCUUACUCGUCAACACGUCAGGUCAAGGUGCAACUAAUAAGAGGGGAAGAGAUGGGCUACACUCUCUAUUAUAGAGUAUACGGAGAACUAAUAUGAAAGCUAGUUCAAAGGUGGAUUUAGCAGUAAAAGGGGUCAGAGAGCCCCUUUUAACUCGGCACUGGGGUGUGUACACACCGCCCGUCACCCUCUUCGUAGCACUGGUUUAAGUACAUAACCGAAUUCCGCAUCGUAGAAGAGGUAAGUCGUAACAUGGUAAGUAUACCGGAAGGUGUGCUUGGAAU